rnacentral:rRNA from 1 species
UACGUAGGUGGCAAGCGUUGUCCGGAUUUACUGGGCGUAAAGAGCGCGCAGGCGGUCGUUCAAGUCGCGUGUGAAAGCCCCCGGCUCAACUGGGGAGGGUCACGCGAUACUGAUCGACUCGAAGGCAGGAGAGGGUAGUGGAAUUCCCGGUGUAGUGGUGAAAUGCGUAGAUAUCGGGAGGAACCCCAGUGGCGAAGGCGGCUACCUGGGCUGUUUCUUGACGCUGAGGCGCGAAAGCUAGGGGAGCAAACGGG